UGGGGAAUAUUGGACAAUGGGCGCAAGCCUGAUCCAGCAAUGCCGCGUGAGUGAUGAAGGCCUUCGGGUUGUAAAGCUCUUUCGCACGCGACGAUGAUGACGGUAGCGUGAGAAGAAGCCCCCGGCUAACUUCGUGCCAGCAGCCGCGGUAAUACGAAGGGGGCUAGCGUUGUUCGGAAUUACUGGGCGUAAAGGGCGCGUAGGCGGUGUGUCAAGUCAGGCGUGAAAGCCCCGGGCUCAACCUGGGAACCGCGCUUGAGACUGGCACGCUAGAGUUCGGGAGAGGAUGGUGGAAUUCCCAGUGUAGAGGUGAAAUUCGUAGAUAUUGGGAAGAACACCGAUGGCGAAGGCAGCCAUCUGGACCGACACUGACGCUGAGGCGCGAAAGCGUGGGGAGCAAACAGGAUUAGAUACCCUGGUAGUCCAGCCCGUAAAGAUGAGUGCUAGACGUCGGGGCCCUC
rnacentral:rRNA from 1 species